rnacentral:misc_RNA from 1 species
UUCUACGUUUGUAGUCAUCUCUCUAGCAGCAUGGGUUGUUCUCUACGAUAGAGCCAUCCUUCCCUUGGCAUCAAAAAUCAAGGGUAAGCCAGUGAGGCUUGGCGUUAAACUAAGGAUGGGAAUUGGCCUGUUUCUUUCCUGCGUAGCUAUGGUGGUUGCAGGAAUUGUUGAAAACAUUCGACGAAGAAAAGCAAUCGGGCAUGGGUAUCUAAACAAUCCUCAAGCUGUGUUGGGC